AGUACAUUAUUGCAGAGGCCGGGAAAGGGCAAUUCAAGACGAAUCCACGAAUUGCUAUUCCUGCCGAGGCAUAUAUAGUGCUUUUCUCCAAAUAUGCGAGGAAAUAAGGUAAAAUAAUAAU